rnacentral:lncRNA from 1 species
AUGGAUGGCAACAUCAAGGUCCCGGCUAUCGAUCGACUCCUGCAGUCAUGGGAGAUGAAAAUCCCCUUUCAAUCGUCAGAUCCAUAGUUCCAGUGCUGGAGGCCAUGAUGGGAGCUCCAGUAGAGGAGAUCCCGAUGAAGGAGACUCUGAUGGAGGGCAUGCAGGUGAUAGAGAUGGUCGAUCAUCUGGAAGAGGUUUUGAUGAUGGUGACAGAUGCUAGGACCCUUUGGAGUAGGCGGUGCUUAUCCUGUGUCUUCCCAAGGCCAUUUCCCAAGCAGAUCCCUCAUGACUGGU